CGUUCCCGCCGUACGGGACAUAACAUCAUCUGAUGCUUUAACGUGUCUCUUAACUUAGUAUGAACCGCUGGUGUCUCAUUCUUGUGCAGCGCAACGGACUUUCUCCCCCCUAUACAAAAGAAAGAAGGUUUUGAUUAAACACGUGCAGCAGACAGUACUAUCCUCAGGUUAGCACUUCCACAGUGGACGGUACUGGCAACAGCCUCUGCCCCACAACAGCGGUUCCCAACGAAGUAAGAGCAGGUCUCCGGGCUCAGGAGAUAAGGGUCCGUAUGAGUUCGGGCUGUAUUGACGUGGUCCGCAGCCGUAGAACCGUCGAUACGCGCCGAAGAUACACAAUUACCUACCAUGUAGUUACCGUACGGGUGUACAGAGACGUCAAUGGCGUGAAGAAUUCAGCCAAGUGGGACUGACCAGCGGACGAUACUAGUUCAGACGUUAGCAGUGGUGUCGUAGUCGCUGGCUAGUUAAGCCACUCGGUUAGCUUCGCCUCAGCCACGGCUCCUUCCACCGACUAGGGAAGCUGAAGCCAUCACCGGUGUACCUAGGACUGUCUCGGCGAUUGGGACCGAACCAAAUGCUACACCUACGUUCUCUCAUGUUGUUCAAAAAAUUAACGUGGGAACCUAGCAAGGUACCAACGCUCAGGAUGGUUGAGUUAGAGUUAGAGGGCAGCUAGCGAUAAGGUCUGGAGUUCCUGGUGCAGUGCCAAGUUGCGUGACAGUGUUUACACCCCCGUCAGCCUUGUUGAAUAGUACGCCAUGAACUUCGAGGUCGUCCCCACUAGUACAGGCACCUCGGUAGACACUAGUGUAAGCGGUUUCCUCCAUCGUGUUCGUACUGUAAGUGUCACAGCAAGCGAUGUUUCGCCUCUCACGUUCCACCCAAAUGGAAACCCUCGAACUGUACCAGUCUACCUUUAUGUGUGAGCCAAUCUUAAGGGCAGCGUCAUUCCUGACACUAUGUUCUGAAACAACGCCUAUAUAGAAUUUAUGUAGUUGAGUUAUCACACAGUAACAAGUACGUGAGUACAUGAACCGUAGCUUUUUACAUCCCUUGUGAUUUUUAGUAAAAGAAUGUUAUCAUACUUUAUUUGUACCAUCAGGAGGUACUAAUGACUCUACAUAACUAGGAAAAUAUACAGAUAUAUGAUCGUUUUGUAACAUACCACCGCGGCGCACAGGUUCCCUCGUGUAUGAAG
rnacentral:rRNA from 1 species